AGGGGCGUAGUUCAGUUGGUAGAACGGCGGUCUCCAAAACCGCAUGUCGUGGGUUCGAAUCCUGCCGCCCCUG
rnacentral:tRNA from 1 species